CCUUAUUUUUUGUUCUUCAGUCUUCUACAUCUCUCAGUCUCUGUUUUGGUGUGAGUCUACCUGUGUGUCGCUAGCUCUCCCAGACAUAGUUAUUUUCCUUUUUAGGGACCAUGACAGGGACUUUGACACUCUCCACUACCUAGGCCUCGAAGCCACAAAUCCAGCCUCUUUCCUCUCUCCUUUCCUCGACAACCAAGAAAUCUCCUUAUGACCUCACAGUCAUUACAUGACAACACAAAGUGGGGAGGCCUCCUACCUGGGCGGGGCAUCGUGGGAGGGUCCAGACUUGGAGAGGAUAAUCAGUGACUCCCCCCCUUACCCCUAGUCCAAGGCUGCUCGCAUGGCUGCCCGAGGGACUCAAUCCGUGUCUCUAGAGAGGAGAAACUGUGCAUUGAUGGAGAAGAUCAAGUGUCUACAGGCAGCCAACGCUAACCUGAAAAAACUGAAUGAGAAGUUACAAGAGGAGAAUGAUGUCCUGAGAUCCACUGAAGAGGUACUGCUCAGGGACAAUGACAAGAUUAAAAAGAAAAUACUGAAGCUUAAGGAACGCCACGAAUCUCUGCAAGACGAUAUCUACACGCUGGAGGAACGUCUGUGUUCUUGCACCUGCCCUGAGAACCGAUCGAACCACGAACACAAAGAGAGCAAAAGGGCUGCGAACACAGGGCGGCGGCUCCCGUGAGUCCCCGAGGCCGGAUGCACCUCCCCGUCCCCCCACGGAAACCGACCCCCUCUGGGGUUCAAUAAACUUCUCUCCGGGGCUGGGAACCCCUCUGAU
rnacentral:lncRNA from 1 species